rnacentral:rRNA from 1 species
AAGGUUGGACAAUCGGGGAAACCCUGAUCCAGCCAGCCCGCGUGCAUGAUGAAGGCCGUCGGGUUGUAAAGCACUCUUGGCAGAGAAGAAAAGGUACCUCCUAAUACGAGGUACUGCUGACGGUAUCUGCAGAAUAAGCACCGGCUAACUACGUGCCAGCAGCCGCGGUAAUACGUAGGGUGCAAGCGUUAAUCGGAAUUACUGGGCGUAAAGCGUGUGUAGGCGGUUCGGAAAGAAAGAUGUGAAAUCCCAGGGCUCAACCUUGGAACUGCAUUUUUAACUGCCGAGCUAGAGUAUGUCAGAGGGGGGUAGAAUUCCACGUGUAGCAGUGAAAUGCGUAGAUAUGUGGAGGAAUACCGAUGGCGAAGGCAGCCCCCUGGGAUAAUGCUGACGCUCAGACACGAAAGCGUGGGGAGCAAACA